UCGGGAAUAGUGGCAUGAUGCUGUAUACUGGAUUUUGUAUUAUGCUGUUAUUCACGAGA
rnacentral:pre_miRNA from 2 species